AAUCGCUAGUAAUCGCGGAUCAGAAUGCCGCGGUGAAUACGUUCCCGGGCCUUGUACACACCGCCCGUCACACCAUGAGAGUCGGGAACACCCGAAGCCCGUAGCCUAACUUGCAAGAGGGGGCGCGGUCGAAGGUGGGUUCGAUAAUUGGGGUGAAGUCGUAACAAGGUAAC
rnacentral:rRNA from 1 species